AUUACUUUGGCAGAUAAGUGCAAUGGAUUUAGAAUUCAUUAAUGUAGUAUAAUACUAUAAGUAAUA
rnacentral:tRNA from 1 species